AUUGUGACUGAACAGAGUACAAGUACAAAGCCAAUGAAAUGCAGUUAGCAUCUAAUGAGAAGUGCAAAAUAGCAAAGUAGCAUUAAGUGAUAGUGAAAGAUGAGACCGUGAGGCAGAGUGCUGCAACGUGUAAAAGUAACAUGUGCAAAGGGCAGGAUAUGUGACUAACAAGUCUAGAGAUGUGGAUUAAUGUAAUGAAAUUUUGCAGCUUAAGAGAAUAUGAAUGUAAAGUGCAUGUAGAGGAACGUGCAAGGAAGUGCAAAGUGUAUAAAGUUAGUCCAUGUGCCAAAGUAGAAGUGUGUGUUCAGAAAGAGAACUGUGUGCAAAUUGUGCCGAUUAUGUUUGAUCUGACAGCAAACAGCAUUAGCGGAGUUGGAGGAAGGGGGAAUAGUGGCUAUGAGGGGUUCAGCUGAUUGACAGCUGAGGGUAAGAAGCUGUUGGUGUGACAGUGGAGGCCCAGUGGGAGAAGACUGAACUUUGGAAAAACUGUUCUUGUGCCAAGUUGUUUUGGUGCUCUGUCGUGCCUACCAGUCCGCUGAAGCCUUCUUUUGUGGCAGAACCAAAAGAAACAGUUUAUGAAAUUCUGAGAUGACUGUCUGAGGUGAACAGAGCCAAAAAUAACCGAACAGAACCGAAAAUAACAGAGCAGAACGGAGCGUGUCCGGAAAUAACCGAUCAGAGCCGUUAAUUUCCGAUCAGAGCCGGAAAUAGCCGAUCGGAGGCGGAAAUAGCCGAUCAUCCCCGAGCAGCAGCAGAUGAACAGCGGGCUGUGACUGUCGGAGCUCCGGAGUUUCUUCAGCAUGAUGCGUUUUUCUCCAAGACGCAACUUUUAGACAAAACUACUGACGAAAACUCACAACACCGAGAGAAGUCCAGCAGUGUGAGGUGAAGGUGUUUUCCUGCCAUGGUAGAUAAGAUGUCCAGUUUCCUGCACAUUGGGGACAUUUGCUCCCUUUAUGCUGAGGGAUCCACCAGUGGCUUUAUCUCCACGCUGGGGUUGGUUGAUGAUCGCUGUGUGGUUCAGCCUGAUGCAGGAGACCUGAACAACCCACCAAAGAAGUUCAGAGACUGUUUGUUCAGACUGUGUCCGAUGAACAGGUAUUCAGCACAGAAACAGUUUUGGAAAGCUGCCAAACCAGGAGGAACGAGUACUACUGACACGGUUCUGCUCAACAAGCUACAUCACGCUGCUGAUUUAGAGAAGAAACAAAAUGAAUCGGAGAAUAAGAAGUUGCUGGGGACCGUCAUCCAGUAUGGAAAUGUCAUCCAGCUGCUCCACCUGAAGAGUAAUAAAUAUCUGACUGUGAAUAAGCGUCUGCCGGCUCUGUUGGAGAAAAAUGCCAUGCGAGUGACUCUGGAUGCUGCAGGAAACGAAGGCUCCUGGUUCUACAUCCAACCGUUCUACAAGCUACGCUCUAUAGGAGACAGCGUGGUAAUAGGUGAUAAGGUUGUGUUAAAUCCUGUGAAUGCUGGACAGCCUCUUCAUGCCAGCAGCCAUCAGCUUGUAGAUAAUCCAGGAUGUAAUGAGGUGAACUCUGUCAACUGCAGCACAAGCUGGAAAAUUGUCCUGUUCAUGAAAUGGAGCGAUAAUCAGGAGGUCAUUCUGAAAGGCGGGGAUGUUGUUCGGUUGUUCCAUGCAGAGCAGGAGAAGUUUCUAACGUGUGAUGAUCAUCGUAGGAAGCAGUAUGUCUUCUUGCGGACAACUGGACGCCAAUCUGCCACUUCAGCCACCAGCAGCAAAGCACUCUGGGAGGUGGAGGUGGUGCAGCAUGACCCCUGUAGAGGAGGAGCCGGUUACUGGAACAGUCUGUUCAGGUUUAAACACCUAGCGACUGGUCAUUACCUUGCUGCAGAGAUAAACCCUGACUAUGAGGAGGAAUGUCUUGAGUCCCGCUCCUCCCUGGACUCUGAACAGGAAGUGAUGCGAGUCCGUGUACGGAACGUGCAGGAUAAGGUGAUGUACACGCUGGUGUCUGUUCCUGAUGGCAAUGACAUUUCCUCCAUCUUUGAGUUGGACCCUACCACUCUGAGAGGGGGGGACUCACUGGUGCCCAGGAACUCAUAUGUGAGGCUCAGACACCUCUGUACGAACACAUGGGUCCACAGCACCAACCACCCCAUAGACAAGGAGGAGGAGAAACCUGUCAUGCUCAGGAUCGGGACGUCUCCGCUGAAAGAGGAUAAGGAAGCGUUCGCUAUAGUGCCGGUGUCUCCAGCCGAGGUCCGAGAUCUGGAUUUCGCCAAUGAUGCCAGUAAAGUUUUGGCCUCCAUCGCUGGCAAACUGGAGAAGGGCACCAUCACUCAGAAUGAGAGGAGGGCGGUGACGAAGCUGCUGGAGGACCUGGUUUAUUUCGUGGUGGACAUUCCCAACAGCGCUCAGGACGUCCUGGAGAUCACCGUGAACAAACCCAACAGAGAGAGACAGAAACUCAUGAGGGAGCAGAACAUCCUCAAACAGAUCUUCAAGCUCCUGCAGGCCCCGUUCACUGACAGCGGUGAUGGUCCCAUGCUGCGAUUAGAGGAGCUGGCAGACCAGCGCCACGCCCCCUUCCGCCAUAUCUGCCGCCUCUGCUACAGAGUUCUGCGUCAUUCACAGCAGGACUACCGCAAAAACCAGGAGUAUAUAGCAAAGCAGUUCCGCUUCAUGCAGAAGCAGAUUGGUUAUGACGUGUUGGCCGAAGACACCAUCACAGCCCUGCUGCACAACAACCGCAAACUGCUGGAGAAACACAUCACUGCUGCUGAGAUCGACACCUUCGUCAGUCUUGUUCGCAAAAACAGAGAGCCCAGGUUCCUGGAUUAUUUAUCGGAUCUGUGUGUCUCCAUGAACAAAUCCAUUCCUGUGACACAGGAGCUGAUCUGUAACGCAGUGCUGGAUCCAGCCAACUCCGACAUCCUCAUUGAGACCAAGUUAGUGCUGUCGCGGUUCGAGGUGGCAGGGGCGGUGCUGGGGGAGAGUGCAGAGGAGGAAGAGGAGGAUGAGGAGGAGGUUUGGUUGUUCUGGAAGGACAGCAGUGGAGAGGUAAAGAGUAAAAGCAUCAGAGAACUCGCUCAGGAUGCCAAAGAGGGACACGCUGAGGACCAGGAGGUGAUCAGCUAUUACAGGUACCAGUUGAACUUGUUUGCUCGGAUGUGUCUGGAUCGUCAGUAUUUGGCUAUCAAUAAGAUCUCGGCUCAGCUGGAUGUGGAUCUGAUAUUACGCUGCAUGUCGGAUGAAGAUUUGCCUUUUGACCUCCGAGCCUCUUUCUGCCGUAUGAUGUUGCACAUGCAUGUGGACCGUGACCCCCAGGAACAGGUCACGCCCGUCAAAUAUGCCCGCCUGUGGUCCGAGAUCCCAUCCCAGAUCUCCAUCGACGAUUAUGAUAAUGACGGGAUGACACGUGACGAGGUGAAGGAGAAGUUUUCCCAUACCAUGGAGUUUGUGGAGAAUUACCUGCGUGACGUCGUGUGCCAGAGUUUCCCUUUUUCAGACAAAGAGAAAAAUAAACUCACAUUUGAGGUGGUGAACCUGGCCAGGAAUCUCAUCUACUUUGGCUUCUAUAACUUCAGUGACCUGCUCCGGCUGACCAAGAUCCUGCUGGCCAUCCUGGACUGUGUCCACGUCAGCGCAUCCUUCUCUGUCAAACUGGACCGAGAGCCAGGAAAAGGCAGUAACGUGAUGCGGUCGAUCCACGGUGUGGGUGAACUGAUGACUCAGGUUGUCCUGAGAGGAAGCGGCUUCCUGCCCGCCACAAGCCGUAAUUCUCCAGACCGAGACUCUGUGAAAGCUCAAGCAGAACCUCAGAAACAGGACAUACUGGUGAUGGACACCAAGCUGAAGAUCAUAGAGAUACUGCAGUUUAUUCUGAAUGUGAGGUUGGAUUAUCGUAUUUCGUGCCUCCUGAGUAUCUUUAAGAGAGAGUUUGAUGAGAGCAACUCACAGACAGAACCGUCAAUCAGCCCGGAAUCACAGGCCAGUGUUCAGGGGGCACUGGACUUUGAGCACAUUGAGGAGCAGGCAGAGGGGAUAUUUGGAGGAAGUGAGGAGAACACCCCACUGGAUCUAGAUGAUCAUGGUGGCCGGACAUUUCUUAGGGUGCUCCUCCACCUGACCAUGCACGACUAUCCUCCCUUAGUGUCCAGAGCUCUGCAUCUCCUCUUCAGACAUUUCAGCCAGAGACAGGAGGUCCUGCAGGCCUUCAAACAGGUGCAGCUCCUGGUCACCAGUCAGGAUGUGGAGAACUAUAAACAGAUUAAAGCUGAUCUGGACCAGCUGCGGUCUAUAGUGGAGAAAUCAGAGCUGUGGGUGUAUAAGAGACAGGGGUCAGAAUCAGGACUGCACACAGGAGAGGUCAUCACCACGGAAACACAUCACAAGAGUGACUCCAUUUCUGAUGGAUUACACAAACCCAAAGUGGAGAGCACCAGCAGCUCCAACUACCGACUCAUGAAGGAGAUCCUCCUGAGACUCAGUAGGUUGUGUGUGAUGGAGUGUCUCUCUGGAAGGAAGAACAAGAAGCAACAGCAGCGUCUCCUUAGGAACAUGGGGGCUCACUCAGUGGUCCUGGAGCUUCUACAGAUCCCUUAUGAAAAGGGUGAGGAUGUGUGGAUGCAGGAGAUCAUGACCCUCGCUCAUCAGUUCCUCCAGAACUUCUGUGCAGGAAACCAGCAGAACCAGGCUCUACUGCACAAACACAUUAACCUGUUCCUCAACCCUGGAAUCCUAGAGGCUGUGACCAUGCAGCACAUCUUCAUGAAUAACUUCCAGCUGUGCAGUGAGAUUAAUGAUCGUGUGGUUCAGCACUUUGUGCACUGCAUCGAGACGCACGGACGCAGCGUCCACUACCUCAAAUUCCUCCAGACCAUCGUCAAAGCCGAGAACAAGUUCAUCAAGAAGUGUCAGGACAUCGUAAUGGCUGAGCUGGUGAAUGCAGGUGAGGAUGUCCUGGUGUUCUAUAAUGAUCGUGCUUCGUUCCAGACGUUAGUGCAGAUGAUGCGUCUCGAGAGGGAGCGUCUAGACGAGAACAGCGCUCUCAGGUAUCAUAUCCACCUGGUGGAGCUGUUGGCCGUGUGUACAGAGGGUAAAAACGUCUACACAGAGAUAAAGUGUAAUUCUCUUCUCCCACUGGAUGACAUUGUGCGUGUGGUCACACAUGAGGACUGCAUCCCUGAGGUGAAGAUGGCGUAUGUGAACUUCCUGAAUCACUGCUACGUGGACACGGAGGUGGAGAUGAAGGAGAUCUACACCAGUAAUCACAUGUGGAAGCUGUUUGAUGAUUUCCUGGUGGAUAUUUGCAGAGUGUGUAACAACACGAGUGACCGUAAGCAUGCAGACACGGUUCUGGAGCGGUAUGUGACUGAGACCAUCAUGAGCAUCGUCACCACCUUCUUCAGCUCACCAUUUUCUGACCAGAGCACCAGCCUGCAGACUCGGCAGCCGGUGUUUGUGCAGCUGCUGCAGGGUGUGUUCCGUGUGUAUCACUGUACCUGGCUGGUCCCGAGUCAGAAGGGCAGUGUGGAGGCCUGUAUAAAGGUUCUGAGUGACGUGGCUAAAGGGCGAGCGAUUGCUAUCCCAGUGGAUCUGGACUGUCAGGUUAAUAAUCUGUUCAUCAAGUCCAACAACAUUGUUCAGAAAACAGCUCUGAGCUGGAGACUGUCUGCUCGUAAUGCUGCUCGGAGAGACUCGGUCCUCACGGCCUCCAGAGACUACCGCAACAUCAUCGAGAGGCUACAGGACAUAGUCUCAGCGUUAGAGGAGCGUUUGAGGCCUCUGGUCCAGGCGGAGCUGUCUGUGUUGGUGGAUGUUCUCCAUCGUCCAGAGCUGCUGUUUCCUGAACACACUGAAGCUCAUCGCAAGUGUGAGAGCGGAGGAUUCAUCUGCAAGCUGAUAAAACACACAAAGCAGCUGCUGGAGGAGAACGAGGAACGUCUGUGCAUCAAAGUUCUGCAGACACUCCGAGAAAUGAUGACCAAAGACCGAGGAUAUGGAGAGAAGCUCAUGGCGUAUGAUGAUGAGAUGGAUGUUACUGAGCAGGUGGAUGUGAAUCUCCCACCAAAACUACAGGAGGAUCACAGAAGGGGCGAGGCUCUGAGGCAGUUACUGGUGAACCGUUACUAUGGUAACUUCAGGAGCGGAGGGAGGAGAGACAGUUUGACCACCUUCACUAACUCAGGACUCACACCUGCAGGUCCAAACAAGAACCAAUCAGGUCGAGCUGAGAUGUCUUUAACAGAAGUCCAGUGUCAUUUGGACCGUGAGGGGGCAUCUGACCUGGUCAUCGAUCUCAUCAUGAACACAAACAGUGACCGCGUCUUUCACGAGAGCAUCCUAUUGGCUAUUGCUCUACUGGAGGGCGGGAACACAACUAUACAGCAUUCGUUUUAUAAACGUCUCACUGAAGAUAAGAAGUCAGAGAAGUUCUUCCGGGUGUUUUAUGACCGAAUGAAAGCUGCCCAGCUGGAGAUCAAAGCCACCGUUACCGUAAACACCAGUGAUCUUGGAAACAAGCGCCGUGACGACUAUGCUGACCGAGACACACCUCAACGGCGUCGAGGAAAGGACUCGGUGGUCAUGGUAACAGACGAUGCUCGGGAACAGCUCCUGGAAGCGUCUGCAGUGACUAAAAAGGCGUUCGGCUCAUACCGACGUGAUGCUGAUCCUGAAGAGGCAUACGGUCACACUGAUGGUGACAAGGGGGGUGGGGACAAAGGGGCGGAGCAAGGCGAGAUGAGCCCGGUCAUCCUCAUCAUGCAGCCAAUACUGCGCUUCCUUCAGCUGCUGUGUGAGAACCACAACAGAGACCUUCAGAACUUCCUGCGUUGCCAGAACAAUAAAAAUAACUAUAACUUGGUGUGUGAGACGCUGCAGUUCCUCGACUGUAUCUGUGGCAGCACCACGGGGGGUCUGGGCCUGCUGGGGCUCUACAUCAACCAGCACAACGUCGCUCUCAUUAAUCAGACUGUAGAGAGCCUCACUGAGUACUGUCAGGGACCCUGCCAUGACAACCAGAACUGCAUUGCAACUCAUGAGUCUAAUGGCAUCGACAUCAUCAUUGCUCUGAUCCUGAAUGACAUCAAUCCCCUUGGGAGGAAGAGGAUAGAUCUGGUCCUGGAGCUGAAGAAUAACGCCUCCAAGCUGCUGUUGGCCAUCAUGGAGAGUCGCCAUGACAGUGAGAACGCAGAGAGGAUCCUGUACAACAUGAGACCCAAAGAGCUGGUGGAGGUGAUAAAGAAGGCAUAUCAGCAGGGAGAGACAGACUUCGAUGACGAUGAGGAGAAUGCAGAGGAACAUGCUGCUUCACCUCGGAAUGUCGGCCACAACAUCUACAUCCUUGCACAUCAGCUAUCUCGUCACAAUAAGGAGCUGCAGGUGCUUCUGAAGCCCACAGGAGAAGAUCAGGCUGUGGAGUUUUACACGGAACACACGGCACAGAUCGAGAUUGUCCGUCAGGACCGCACCAUGGAGCAGAUUGUGUUUCCGGUCCCACAUAUCUGCUCAUUCCUGACAAACGAGUCGAAACUGCGUGUGUAUUACAGCACAGAGAGAGACGAGCAGGGCAGCAAAAUCAAUGACUUCUUCCUCAGAGCAGACGACCUGUACAGUGAGAUGAGGUGGCAGAAAAAACUUCGAGCCCAGCCGGUGUUGUACUGGUGCAGUAGGAACAUGUCGUUCUGGAGUAAUGUGUCAUUUAACCUGGCUGUGCUGAUUAACGUGCUGGUGGCGUUUUUCUAUCCACUGGAGAGUGUAAGCGAUAGUCACUUGGAGCCAUCAGUGUCUCUGUUACUGUGGGGGUGUGUGUUGGGCUCGUUGGUGUUUGUGUUACUGUGUCCCAGUCCGAAUGCAGUGAGGGUUCUAGUUAUCUCUUUCGUCCUGCGCCUAGGGUUCUCAUUAGGCCUGCAUCACAUGCUGUCUCUGCUGGGAGCCUUUAACGUGUGUAAUAAGAUCGUGUUCCUGAUGAGUUUUGUGGGAAACAGAGGGACAUUUACACGUGGUUACAGAGCCAUGGUGAUGGACAGGGAGUUCCUCUUUCACCUGCUUUAUCUUCUCAUCUGUACACUGGGCCUCUGUGGACACGUCUUCUUCUACAGCUUACUGUUGUUUGACCUGGUGAACAGAGAGGAAACGUUGCUGAACGUGAUUAAAAGUGUGACGAGAAACGGUCGCUCCAUCGUCCUCACUGCUGUACUGGGACUCAUCCUGGUUUAUCUCUUCUCCAUCGUGGGCUACAUCUUCUUUAAAGAUGAUUUUAUACUGGAGGUGGACCGUAUCUCUAACGCCACUCUGGAGGAGGGGGUGAAUCAAGCAAGCAGUUUCCUGUCUGAUGGUUCGUGUGUGUUGGAGAACGAGACGUGUCUGUCUGUGAGCACAGAGGAAGAUGAUGUUGAGAGAGCGUGUGAUUCUCUGUGGAUGUGUAUGAUCACUGUUCUGAGCCACGGUCUGAGGAGUGGAGGAGGAGUCGGGGACGUCCUACGCAAACCUUCAAAAGAGGAGCCUUUGUUUGCUGCAAGAGUGAUUUACGACCUGCUGUUCUUCUUCCUGGUCAUCAUCAUUGUGUUGAAUCUGAUCUUUGGUGUCAUCAUCGACACGUUUGCUGACCUGAGAAGUGAAAAACAGAGAAAAGAAGAAGUGCUGAAGACCACCUGCUUUAUAUGUGGGUUGGAGAGAGAUAAGUUUGACAACAAGACAGUGACAUUUGAAGAGCACAUUAAAGAGGAACACAACCUCUGGCACUACCUGUACUUCAUCGUGCUGGUGCGUGUGAAAGACUCAACGGAGUACACCGGCCCGGAGAGCUACGUCGCUCAGAUGAUCAAGACAGGAACACAAUCUGGACUGGUUCCCCCGUAUGAGAGCGAUGUCUCUGGUGAGCAGUGACUCAGAAGGAGAACAGAACGAACUUCGCUCCCUGCAGGACAAACUUGAGUCCACCAUGAGACUCGUCACCAAUCUGACCAAUCAGCUCACAGAGCUCAAAGAGCAGAUGACUGAACAAAGGAAGCACAAGCAGCGGAUUGGUCUACUGGGAAACCCUGCCCACCUCAAUAUUAAUCCACAGCAGCCUGCCUGAUGGACGGAGACAGGAAAUAGUGUGUGUGUGUGUGUGUGUGUGUCUGAUUAAUCCGGAUGCAGCCUUAAAGGAUGAGGUUUUUAUAGGGUUACUGUGUUAGUGUUUUUUCUAACACAUUUAUAUUUUUGAUGUGCAUUUGUACUUUUACCCUGUUUGCAGAGCGCUGGUACUGAACCGUGUUCAUCACCACACCAGAACUUCGUUUAUAAACCGUCUACUUUACAGUGAUUUGUGAAAGGACUAUUUAAAAAUGUACCGCGCCGUUCCAUUCCCUGUGUGCACAGAAACCUUUUAUAAUAUAAUCAUGUCCAUCUUUAGGAUUCAUUUAAUGCACAUCUUUAUAAAUAAAGCCUCUGAUUUUAUGGAUGAAAAGGUUUAUAAUAAAUCCAGAUGUCAGUAGAAUUUGACGUAGCAGCUGUUAGAACACGCGUGUGAUAGUUUUCACUUUUUUAAAUCGUGUAUUCAGGAACGUUCCAGACAUUUCACACAGACACUGUAAUUAAUCCUGACGGAGUUUUUGCACUGUUUUUGUCACUUAGUGUUAAUUAUGUGGGCGUGCUUUUUUUACUGAAAUUAUUUAUCAGUGUGCCUUUAUACACUUAUUUAAACACAUUUAUACACAGAU